rnacentral:lncRNA from 1 species
CAGGCCAAGACUGAACAGGUUUGAAUUCCCAAAGAGUUCAAUGCAUUCUCCUGUGUUAUAAGCAGAUCAAAGAAUAAAAUCACUGUUUUGCUGCUCAGGCUGCCGUAACAAAGUGCCACAGACUGGGUGGAUUAAACAACAGAAAUUUAUUUUCUGACAGUUUUGGAGACUGGAAGUCCAAGAACAAGGUGUCAGAAGGCCUCUCUCCUUGACUUGCAGAUGAUCAGUUUCUCACCGUGUCUUCACAUGGUCUAUGCUCCAUGAGAGCAAGGACUUUGUCUGUCUUGCCUGCUGCAUUCUUCCUGGUUCCUGGAUAAGGGAUAGGAUCUCAACAAAUAUCCCAUGAAGGAAGGAUGGCUAGAUGGAUAACUGGCUGGAUGGAUAGUGUUCCUUCAUAAACCAUGAAGAUAUUCUGAAGAUUUCUGGAUUGAGAUGAUAAGAUUCUGGGGUUCAUCAGCUAAGAACAUCUCACUGAUCUGCAAAUACCUCCUUGGACACAAAAGCAGAAAAGAAUGACAGCCUUGAGGUUACACACACAAGGGCCCUGGAGCCAGCAGGCCUGAGUGCAAAUUCUGGCUGCUUUCCAGUGGCUGUGUGACCUUCGGAAAAAAGAACAGGACCCAGAAAGGUAUUAAAUCUUACUGAGGAAAAACAACUCCCCACCGCCUCCUGCCUCAUCCCCAGAGACACUCUCAGAAUUUGUUUAUUCAAGAGACAUAAUCAGUAACAUCAUCUAAAAUUAGCAACAGAGCUUCCUCUGUCUCCCACUUCAUCAUUUCUGAGAGUUUCUAUAGAUUGGAGAAUUGCUUAUAAUGAUGAUGGAAUAACUCAUUUUAAAAAUCGCAAACUGAGAAAACAAGUUUACUGCCUUAUUUUUGAAUAGUUUGGGCCUGAAAGGAAAAUUCUGUCUUUCACCAAAUAAAAGGAAAAAAGGCAAUUAUCUGAGAUGAAAACCCCCAG